CUCUGCUGCUCUGUGUUUCACGGAAACCUUGGAUGAUCAGGAUGUCAGACAAGGAAUAAAGACUUUUUCCAACUGGCCGACGAUUCCACAGGUGUUCAUCAAUGGUGAGUUUUUUGGCGGCUGUGAUAUUCUUCUUCAGAUGCAUCAGAGUGGAGAUCUGGUAGAGGAACUUCAGAAGCUGGGAAUCAGAUCAGCUCUCCUGGAUCAAGAAAAAGAGUCCAAGUAGGAGUCUAGUCAGCAAAGACUAGUCUUUGGGAUGAUUGUUGUUACAUUGAUGUAAACCUCCCAAAGGUUUGACUUGUGAAUGGAGACUUGACCUGCUGAAGUCCAAACUGUCCUCAGCUUAC